rnacentral:rRNA from 1 species
GGCCUGAGAGGGUGACCGGCCACACUGGGACUGAGGCACGGCCCAGACUCCUACGGGAGGCAGCAGUGGGGAAUAUUGCACAAUGGGCGCAAGCCUGAUGCAGCGACGCCGCGUGAGGGAUGACGGCCUUCGGGUUGUAAACCUCUUUCAGCAGGGAAGAAGCGAAAGUGACGGUACCUGCAGAAGAAGCGCCGGCUAACUACGUGCCAGCAGCCGCGGUAAUACGUAGGGCGCGAGCGUUGUCCGGAAUUAUUGGGCGUAAAGAGCUUGUAGGCGGUUUGUUGCGUCUGCUGUGAAAGACCGGGGCUUAACCCCGGUAUUGCAGUGGGUACGGGCAGACUAGAGUGCAGUAGG